AUUGAACGCUGGCGGAAUGCUUUACACAUGCAGGUCGAACGGCAGCACGGACUUCGGUCUGGUGGCGAGUGGCGAACGGGUGAGUAAUGUAUCGGAACGUGCCCAGUCGUGGGGGAUAACGUAGUGAAAAUUACGCUAAUACCGCAUACGAUCUAUGGAUGAAAGCGGGGGAUCGCAAGACCUCGCGCGGUUGGAGCGGCCGAUAUCAGAUUAGGUAGUUGGUGGGGUAAAGGCCCACCAAGCCAACGAUCUGUAGCUGGUCUGAGAGGCACGACCAGCCACACUGGAACUGAGACACGGUCCAGACUCCUACGGGAGGCAGCAGUGGGGAAUUUUGGACAAUGGGCGAAAGCCUGAUCCAGCCAUUCCGCGUGCAGGAUGAAGGCCCUCGGGUUGUAAACUGCUUUUGUACAGAACGAAAAGGUUUCUACUAAUACUAGGAGCUCAUGACGGUACUGUAAGAAUAAGCACCGGCUAACUACGUGCCAGCAGCCGCCGUAA
rnacentral:rRNA from 1 species